UUGUGGAUUUACUGUAUUCUCUACCUGUAUUACAUGGACACCUACAUGCCUCUCUAGUGUCUGUUUAAAGGGUUAAUUAGUAGCUGUAUUGCAAAGUGAAUUUGUGUGAUAAAUUGGAGUCAUGUCACAAUAGCAAAACUUGGCAGGUAAAUUGUCAUGUGGUUAAUAUCAGAUGAGAAAUUAACUAAUGUUAGCGAAAAAAAGUUGCAUGGCAGUAUUUUGAAAGGGUCUUGUUAAAAGAGGGAAAAAUUGUAUUCAAAUGGUAUUCAUCACAGACUUGAAAUGUAAUAUUUUGUUCUUUCAAGGACCAGCGAUGAGUUGAGUGCAGAUGUAGAAUCUUCAAGAAGAAUUGAAUAUGAUGGCCUAAGACGGGGAAACUACAGGAGGAAAUGGCUAAAGAAAGUUUCUCUAAAGAAUGAUACAUGUGCAAUAUGCUUGGAUGAUUUUCAAAACAAGGAGGAAAUCAGCAUUUGUAGAUGUGGACAUGCUUAUCAUCACAAAUGUAUUAUGAAGUGGAUGGAAAUUAAAGAAACAUGCCCCAUAUGUCAGCGUAACUGCAGGCAUGAAAAUGAAAACGGAAAUGCCAAUGGAGGGGAGAGAACACCAUUGCUGACAAAUCCUUUAGAGCUGUGAGAGAUACAGCGCAGCACAGAGUUUUAAACAGUUUGAAUAAAAUGUCACAAGGAAUGGACUGAUGAAUCAGCUCAACGGAGUGUGUUUGAAUAAACAGUUGCUGACUUUAUUACACAUUAUGCCUGCGGCUGGAAAAGCAAGAUUCUUUACCUCAGAGUACAAAUGUCUCUGCGGAUAUUUUAUUGAGUAAUUAAUUGAUAAUAUGCUUCUUGUUUUUAUCUUACGAUUCAUUCAACAGCUUUUAUCAAGAGCUUUUGCGUGACUGUGCAAACAUUUAUUUUUUCCAUAAUGGGAAGCAUCAUUUGGCAAAAAUAGGCAAAGUGACAUAAUGUCAUGGAAAGUUCCAGUUUGAGUCAGAUUUUAAUUUUAUUCCUGAAUGUCAAUUUUUUUAUUAUUUAAAUUAUUGUAAAAAGUAGAUUUACACAUAUGUAGUGGGGAUUUAAAACUGGGGUGUUUUCAACUGUUAGAUUUCUCGGCUGUGUUAUGUAGUCUUACUCCAUCAACUUAUGUAAGUGUCAAUUGCUUUCUACACUUAGGGAAGAAACUAAAUGACAACUUGGCACCGCUACCAGUUUAAGCUUGAUGAUACCCUUAAUCAUGGGUGAAGGCAAAUCAGCCUACAGUCGAACCUCUUCUUACAGCCAGCCUCACCCAAUGGACACUUUUAUAUUGCAGCCAGGUCACACUUUCUUCCAGAGUAACUACAUCUCACAUAUAAUUUCUACCUCCACAAUACUGACACUCAGGAGAGCUCCUUUUGUGACCGUAUUGAGGAGGUUCAACUGCAUUACCGUGUUUAUCUUUUGUUAGCUGUAGGUUAUGUUACAGUAACUUGUUAACCUGUGUAGAUCCGUUCACUCUCCUUAAGAUCUUGUUGAGUUGGUCAGUCAUUAGGAUCUUUAGAUUGGACUAACAGUACAAGAACGAUUUACAAAUUUCAAAUCAGUGAUCUUUCCAGAGCCCUUGCUCCUCGUGUUAGUUUCAAGUUGAGAGGGUCGCUCAUGGGAUGAGAUGGGUAUGUGACGUGAAAAUGUGAAGUCUGCAAACUAGAAUUGAGAAGUCGCACUCUUACUCAAACUUUAAGUCCCCUGAUAUUAUUACGGCAUGGUCUAAACUGUUGAUCGAGUACUUGUGUUAGACUGUUUCUUACAUUUCGCCGUGUUAGAGCUGAAAAACAGGUUCAUUAGGUUAUUUACAAGUAGUAGUUUAUCCAAUGGCGUUUGGUUCACGUGAUAAGUUAUAAAGCCAAUCACAAAGCCAUCUACAGCAGCCAAUCAGAAAACAGGUGUAAUCUGAUUGGCCAAGACAACGUAGGCAACAAAAUUUGGUGUUGGCUUUGCAUCUGUUGGCGGUGAGAGUAGAUAGUAAUACAAUUUAUUUUGAUUGGCUGGUAAACAAAUAAAAGCGUAGAAAUAGGCCAAUUUAGGGAAAACCAGCGGCCUAUCUGUUACGUUUUAGCCAGAUAUUGUGAAUACAUUUUACCAUAGGCAGCGUUUAAUGAAUUUCUUUUGUAAAUAUAAGUCUUACCAUGCGUUUCGUUAUGACGAUGGAACACGGUAUUUAAUAAACUGAACAGGAGAAUCGUA